UACGGGGGGGGCAAGCGUUGUCCGGAAUCAUUGGGCGUAAAGAGCGUGUAGGCGGCCCGGUAAGUCCGCUGUGAAAGUCCAGGGCUCAACCCUGGGAUGCCGGUGGAUACUGUCGGGCUCGAGUCCGGAAGAGGAGUGUGGAAUUCCUGGUGUAGCGGUGAAAUGCGCAGAUAUCAGGAGGAACACCAAUGGCGAAGGCAGCUCGCUGGAACGGUACUGACGCUGAGGCGCGAAAGCGUGGGGAGCGAACAGG
rnacentral:rRNA from 1 species